AACAGCAGUGUAUUGAUUGUUGAUAAUUAUUUUCUAGAUCAUGUCCAUAAGCAAUCUUCGCUUAAUUUCUCUUAUUCUUGCUGUCUUGGAUCUGCAGAGUCUCGAAGGAUUUGAAUUGUAUCCAGACUGUUGAAUGUGUUUCAAAAGAUAGUAUUGAUUGUUGAUAACUAUUUUCUAGAUCAUGUCCAUAAGCAAUCUUCGCUUAAUUUCUCUUAUUCUUGCUGUCUUGGAUCUGCAGAGUUUGAAGGAUUUGAAUUAUACCAAGACUGUUUAAUGUGUUUCAAAAGAUAGUUCUCAUUUUAAGCAACUUAGAAGCUCUAUUGCCUAUCAAAGCCUUAUUUAUUCUUUUGACGAAGUAUGAUCCUUACCCUUGCCAUCAAAUUUAUUUAUGUUUGUGCAUAUAAAAGUUUUGGUAGUGAAAUUUUGCAUUACUUGAUAUUUACAUGUUCUUUCCUCGGGCCAACAGUGCAGAAGAGAUUCUCAAAUCACUUGAUGAAAUUAACUUCAAAGAUAAAAGUUGCAAUUUCUUCAAAAUAUACAUUUACUUAUAACUCGUUUGGUGAAGACAAUCCAGAAAUCUACGAGAUGUUCUGUUCUUUUCUUAGAUAUUGUUCUACCUUAAUUUGAGCGACUGACCUACGAGCAUACGCAUCAAAGGUUCGUCAUAAGGCAUCGUAUCUUCUGCAUUUCUAUGUCUAAAAAUGAUUAGUACAAUAUCUUCAGUAUCAUGGCGAAUGUCAAGUUAUUGCUGCUACUUGUUGACCGGUAUCAAUCAACAUAUUUUGCAUAGCAUCUUAGGAUCUUUGAAUAUAUAACAAUUAACAAGCUCACAGAAAAUUCAACGACAUGUAUAUGUCCGUCAAAACCUCUGUAGCACCGACAUCUUUGAAAAAAGGUUUUUAGUUUGUUUAUUAGCUUGUGUUCUAUGUGACUACUAUUAGAGAAUAAAAGUACAUAUAGGUCAGCAGAUUUGGUUAAUUUUAACAUAUAGGUUAGCACUGAUUACCUUGCUGUUGUAGCUGCACAUUUUGUUUAUUAAUUUUUCCGUUGACGCAAUUUUGUUUGUUACCUAAGUUGGUAUCUACCCUUGAGGAUGUGCGCAAAGCAAGUGCAGAAGCAGAGCAGAGAAUAGAUGCGCAUCUUGACAUAUGCAGGACAGUUUUGGCAUGUGGAUCAACAAACGUGAAGAAAUAUGUCUUGUCCUUAAAGCAUUUGCAGUGAGGAGGGACUGGGUGAAUGCUAAAACCAAAAGCUAUGUUCAAAUUUUGGUAAAAACUAAAUAUUUGUUUGGUAUGAGUCUUUUUUAUCAACAUUAAUAUUUUUUAGUUAAAGGUAUAUUGAGUAUUCUUGCCUCUUGCUUGGUUCUAAUUUUUAGUUAAAUGUUUAUAAAUUUUGUGCUUGUAUGAACAUAUCAUGUUAGAAUGUUUUUCUCUAUAUUUGAGAAUUUAUUGAAACGUCCAAUUCUAAACAAUCUAUAGUUUCUUCGAGUUAGCUGCCUAGAGUUAAUCUAUAGUUUCUUUGAGUUUAGCUGCUUAAAGUUGAUGUAUGUAACUUUUUUUGAAUAAAAUUAUCUUGCUGAAUUGAUUUUAGACUAGUAACAUAUGUUAAAUUGGUUUAUAAUGCUAUAUAAAACUAUUCAUUAAAUUAAUUGAUUUGUUUGUCUAAAAAUUAAUUUUGAUUAAUAUUUUUUUAUUAUUUCAAGAACAGUUUAUAUGACUUUAGAUGGAGACACGUGAAAGUGAAAGUGAAAAGUAAAGAGACACAUGAAAGUUCAUAGUUGUGGAUACACUAACAUACAAUAUAAGAAGUAGGGAUUUUUUAUUUUAUAUGAAAAUUCAAAUAUAGAAAAUAGGAACAUGGAGGAGUUGUUUGAUACAUAAGAUGUAUAUGAUUUUGUUUUUGUAAUUAGUUUUUAUUUAUAUUAUAUAAAAUUAAACUUUCUAUUUUGAAUUUUUUGAAUUUAUAAGAAAAUAAUAUAAUAGUUAAAAUUUAGCUAUUUAACUUUGCUAUCAUUUAAAAUGCAUUCUAAAACAUUUAAAAUAAGUAAAUUUUAUUUUAAUAUUAGUAAUAUUUCUCAAUUAUAUUAAAAUGUUAAUUUAUUAUAUUUUAAUAUAAUAAAAUUAUAUUUUUAAUGUUUUAGUGACACCUAAAAGAAAAUAAUCCGUAGAUAUAAGUUUCUAUUAUUUGUAAUACUAGCAUAGUAUAUGUGACAUUCAUUGUAACAGUAGAAAAAAGUUUAGCCGUAGCUAAAAGCUAUUGUGCCAUUCAAUUUAUCGUCACAUUACACCCUCUUAUAAUUGACGCCAAAUGGGGUGUCACUCAAAGUCAUAUAGACAUUUACCUAUAGAUUAUUGACUUUGAGUGACGAAUUUUGAGUGUCACUAAAAGUCAAUUUUCUUGUAGUGUAAUAAUAUAGUUAUAACUUUAAUUAAAAUAUUAAUUAAAAUCUAUAUUAUGGAUUAUUUUUUAUGAUAUAGAUUAGUCAUUUUGAAAUAUCUAUAUUAUUAACGGACUAAUCUAUAUUUUUAAAAUCUAUAUUAUUGAUUCAUUUUUAAAUUAAUGACCAAAAUAAUCCCAAAUUUAAUAUACGGGAGAAAAAAUAUUAAAGGUCAGUUUGGUAAAAAUAUCGGUUGAUUGAUAAGCUAGUUGAUAGUUUAUAGUUUAUGACUGAUGGCUUAUGGCUUAUAGCAGAUGGUUGAGACUAAUAGCUUAUAAGCUAAUUGAAGUGUUUGUAAAAUUAGCGGUUCAAUUAACUUAUAAAUGUAUAAUGACAUAAAAGAUAUUUAAUAUAUAAUUAUUUUAUUUUAAAUUAAAAUAAAUUAUAAGGGUUAAAAAUGAAUUUUAAUUAAAAUAAUAAGGAUAAAAAAGAAAGAAAAAAAUAAUAAGCUAUAAGACAUAAGCUAAAGCGCUAUUUGAAAUAGCGUCUGAAAAAUAAGCUAUAAGCUCGUGAUGAAAAGACCGUUACCAAACAGAUAUAAUUUAUCAUAUGAGUUUAUAAAACAUAAGACAUAAACUAAGCUCGAAAAAGUUUAUAAAACAUAAGACAUAAACUAAGCUCGAAAACAUGUUUUACCAAACAGAGUCUAAACCUAAUCGCUAAUAAUGAUCUACAUUCAUAACAUUUCUUUAUAGAGAUUAAAAUUAGAUAUACCUCCCAAAAUAAAUCUUUCAAGUUAUUAUUUAGAAUCUCAUGACAAAGCAAGGUGUAGUAAUGGAAAGAAAUUUGUAGGAAAAUUAUUCAAUGGAUCCAUAAGUCAUAACUCAUAACUAAGCGCUAAGUUGCGGUUUUUCAACAAUAGUUUUCCUCUUGAUCUCAUCUAAUAUAUAUCUUAAACCUAUCAAAAUCAUUGUAGUAAGUGCAUAGUCAUCUACACAAUCACUUUUCUUCGCCCACGUGUUCUUAAUAUCAGCGGCAUAUAAAAAUGUUAACAUGAUAUUGAAAUCUCAACAACCUACAUAGAAAAAAGUGGUCAUAAUUAAUUACAUUAUAAAGCUCAAUCCAAUAAAAGUCAUGGUGGGCUUAUAGUCUUUUUCAGAAUUAGUUUUUCAAACCAGCUUUAUAUCCGCAGCGUCUAAAUAUGUUAACAGGAUAUUAAUGUCUCAACGAAAAAAAGUGAUUGAGAAAUUCUUGUUGCUACACAUUUUCCCCCUUUCGACAGUACUAGUGAUGGUGAUUUCGUAUGACACUUCUUUCCAAAUUAAAUACGGGAUAACGAUUAAUAUGAGUUUUAGUCCAUGUGUUUAUCUCAUGUAGAGACAAAAAGUAACAAUUAUAUCUUAUAUUUAAAUUUAGUGUUUAGUUGCAAUUAAAAUAAGAUAAAUUAAUCUUUAGGCUCUGUUUGGUAAAACUAGCUGAUAGCUGGUAGCUUUUAGCUGGUAACUGGUAGCUUUUAUCUGGUAGCUGAUAGUUGAUAAGCUAAUGUGAGUGUUUGGUAAAUUAGCUGUUUCAUUAGCUGAUAGAUACAAAAUGCCAUUAAUGGCAUUUUAAUUAAUGAGGGUAAUAAUAUAUUUUAGUUAAAAUAAUAAGGGUAUUAAUGGAAGAAAAACUCACAAGCUAAAAGCUACAAGCUCAAAAGCUACUUCAAAUAGCUUUUGAAAAAAAAGCUAAAAGCUAGUAAAAAAGCUACAAGCUAAAAGCUAAAAUAGAGUUAC